CACACCCUUCCCAGGAUUAAUGUAAUUCAAUCUGUUUCUGUUUAAAAAGGCCUCAGACCUUCCCUUUGAAUUCCUUUUGGUCAGAAAGAAGUGUUCUUUCCCUGUCAAUGCCUUCACUUCCUGCUUGUUUCAGGUGAUGCUGUCCAGAAGGAACUGAAAGCAGGCCAGAGUACAGAGGGCCUCCAGGACCCAAAGGUGAUCCAGGGAAUGAAGGAAGAGGAGGAUCACCUGGUGCUCCUGGUUUGCCUGGACCAAGAGGUCUUAUGGGUGAGAGAGGUUCUCCUGGGCUGCCUGGCCUGAAAGGAGAUGAUGGGGCAUUGGGAGCCCCAGGACCCAUGGGAAUGCGUGGAUUC